rnacentral:rRNA from 1 species
CAAUAGCGUAUAUUAAAGUUGUUGCAGUUAAAAAGCUCGUAGUUGGAUUUCUGGUUGAAGCGACCGGUCGGGCGUUGAUUCGUCUGCACUGGAGUCGGUUUUGGCCAUCCUCUAGGAAAGUGCGUCUGGUAUUAAGUUAUCGGGCGUAUGAUCCUGGUCUUUUACUGUGAAAAAAUUAGAGUGUUUAAAGCAGUCCUUCGCCUUGAAUACAUUAGCAUGGAAUAAUAAGAUAGGACUUUGGUCUAUUUUGUUGGUUUGCAGACCGAAGUAAUGAUUAAUAGGGAUAGUUGGGGGUAUUUAUAUUCCGAUGUCAGAGGUGAAAUUCUUAGAUUUUCGGAAGAUAAACUUAUGCGAAAGCAUUUACCAAGGAUGUUUUCAUUAA